AAGUGCGAUAAGCAAUGCGAGUUGCAGAAUUCCGCGAAUCAUCAGAUCUUUGAACGCAAAUGGCGCCAGAGGGAUAUCCUUCUGGCAUGUCUGUUUCAGUGUCUGAGAGGUUUCACACUAAUCUUAAUGUGAUUGAAUUCGAGUUAGUUAGUUUAAUUACUAGCUUCCUCUUUUCUCUCAUGAAAGAUGCGCGAGGGGAUCUUUCGGUCCAAUGAAGUGGUCACAUCACUCGAAUGUGAUUUCAUUGGAAGCGCCGAAUUAUCAUUUAACAACUCGCGGUAUCAUUAAACUAAUUAAAAAAAUGAUACUUUUUGGCAUUAUUUUUUUUCUUCUCUACACUCUGCAUCUGAGAUAGGCAAGAUCACCCGCUGAACUUAAGC
rnacentral:misc_RNA from 1 species